rnacentral:rRNA from 1 species
GACGAACGCUGGCGGCGUGCUUAACACAUGCAAGUCGAACGAUGAAGCUGGAGCUUGCUCUGGCGGAUUAGUGGCGAACGGGUGAGUAACACGUGAGAAAUCUGCCCUUGACUCUGGGAUAACUGCGGGAAACUGUAGCUAAUACCGGAUACUUUCCCUGGUGGGCAUCACUGGGGAAGAAAGAAUUUCGGUCAAGGAUGAUCUCGCGGCCUAUCAGCUUGUUGGUGAGGUAAUGGCUCACCAAGGCGACGACGGGUAGCCGGCCUGAGAGGGUGACCGGCCACACUGGGACUGAGACACGGCCCAGACUCCUACGGGAGGCAGCAGUGGGGAAUAUUGCACAAUGGGCGCAAGCCUGAUGCAGCAACGCCGCGUGAGGGAUGAAGGCCUUCGGGUUGUAAACCUCUUUUAGCAGGGAAGAAGCGAAAGUGACGGUACCUGCAGAAGAGGCACCGGCUAACUACGUGCCAGCCGCCGCAGUAA